GAGAUCAUUUUGUUUAAAAGUGUAACACUGUCCCCCUUCACCCUCUCCCUCCUGCUGCCAUGGAAUAUGUGCCUUGCUUCCCCAUCAUCUUCUGCCAUGAUCAUAAGUGUCCUGAGGCUUCCUCAGCCAUGUGGAACUGUGAAUCAAUUAGACCUUUUUUUUAAAAAUAAAUUACUCAGUCUCAGGUAGUUCUUUAUAGCAGUGUGAAAACGGACUAAUACAAUGGCUUUUGGAAAAAUUUCAAGCAGUCUGACAUAUAUAUAUGUUAGAUGAAAUAUAAUAUGUAUAAUUAGAGUUUAUUAUAUCUAAUAUAUAAGUAGAGAAUAUGUGAUGCACUAUUUAAUCAGAGUUUCAGAAGAAUGGAGGGGGACAGAAAAAUAUAUGCAGGAAUAUGACUUUGCUGGGCAUGGUGAAUCACACCUAUAAUCCCAGCACUUUGGGAGACCGAGGCUGGCAGAUUGCUUGAGCCUGGAAAUUUGAGAACAGCCUGGGCAAUAUGGCAAAACCCCGUUUCUACAAAA
rnacentral:lncRNA from 10 species